AAAGGCAUGUGCCACCAAUGCCCGGCUAGAAGGGAUCUUCUAAAAGAUUUAUUAUUAUUUUUUGUAGGUGUGUGUGUGUGUCUACAUAUGGUUGUGUACAUGUGAGUGCAGGUACCUGUAUCAGUUUCUGUGGAGCUACAGUUUCGAAGUGGUUGUUAGCCCCCAUAUGGUCCUCUGGGAGAGCAGUAAGUGCCCUUAACUGCUAAACUUCCUCUCUAUUCCCCAGAAGGGAUUAAAAAAAAUUUAUGUGCUUUGGUAUUUUGCCUGCAUGUAUAUCUGUGUAAAACUGUUGGAUUCCCUGGAACUUAAGUUAUACAUAGUUGUGAACUGUCAAAUGGGCUCUGGAAAUUGAACCCAGGACCUCUGGAAGAACAGCCCUGAGCUGUAUCUCCAGUCCCCCCCCCCCACUCGAAGGAAUCUUUUAAGUUUUUAAAAUUUUUUUACAUUUUUAAUUGUGACUUAUACCUUGAGACAAAUUGAACAUUUGGCACAUUAAAGAAAGAACUUUCCUGCCUGAUAUUGUGAAGAACAAACCUAAUAUGGUUACUGCCUUUGGUAAUUUAUUCUUCAGCCUGAAAGAUAAUUAAGUGAUUCUAUGGAUUUGUUAUUAAGUAGGAAAUGCUGUAUGUAUGGCAAGUGACCUUGAUCUGUAGUUUAGUGAAUCAAGAUUUCACAUAAAUGGCAUUCAGGAGUCUUGGCUUUUUAUUGUAGUUCUGUUACUGCAGUAUGAUUGAACAAACCACUUAAACUUUGUGAAUUUCUUUCAUCUUUUAUAUUAAAAGAAAGAACGAAAAUUGAAUUGGAGUCUGCAAAAGAUACCUUAUAUCAGAUUAGGUUUCAAGAUCUACCAUAAAUGCAUUUAUUUAUGUUCAGAGGUUUCUUUCAAAAACAGUGAAGAUGACUCAUCUUCUUAUUAUGUGAUUAUUAGUCAAUAAUAAUAUAUAUAUCCUUUACUCAUAUAUAGCUUUGUGCCAAACAUAUAUGAACACACUUCUUUUACCAUUUUAAAAUCAGAUUUGAUGAUUGUUUAUAAUACACAUGAAGUUCUCAUUAAAAACAACAACAAAAAAAGAAAAUUAAAUUGGAAAAAGCAUAUUCCAUGUAGAUCCCUGUAUGGUCUCAUUCGUCAGGGUUUCAAAAGAUAAUUCCUUUGCAUCCAGAUUUUCUUUCCUGGAGAGUCAUGUUAACUAAACUAAUAAAUUGGAGAAUUAAGUUGCCAGUUUUCACUCACUGACACUUGCCCCUGUUUUUGGUGUAAUACUUAAAUCAUUCCUGAGUAAGGAAAUGAGGUUUAUUCUCCCUCCCUCCCACCCCCUCCCCUCCAUGUUUUUGAGACAUGACCUCAUACUAUAGCCAAAUCUGGGUUGGAACUCUAGCAGUCCAGUUAUCUCAGUCUCCCAGUUUUAGGGAUUGCAGUUUAGGGCCAUCACAUCUGGUUUGUGGCACCUUGAAAACCAUUCAUUCAAUCUUUGUAGACCUUCUCACAUCCCACUCUGGUUUUCAAUAAUGAAGAGUAGUUAUACAAGGUUUUGUGUUUUGUUUUUUGUGUUUUGUUUUGGUGUGUGUGUGUGUGUGUGUGUGUGUGUGUGUGUGUGUGUGUGUGUGUGUUGUGAGUGUGUUGUGUGAUACAAGAUCUCACUAUAUAUACCUGGCUGACUAGAAGACCAGGCUGGCCUCAAAUUUUGUGACAGUUCUCUCCCUUCUGUCUGAUGGAAUUAUAGGAAUGUACUACUGUAUUUCUUUUUGUAUCCCAGACUGUCCUGGAAUAUACUAUAUAGCCCAGGGUGGAACUUGUGAUAAUGGUUGGUCUUGGCUGCUCAUGCUAGAAUUAGACAUGAGCCAUUAUUCUAGGCUAAUGUCAGUAGUUUAAAAAAAAAAUUAAAAAUUUUUGUCUCUGUUAAUUUGACUCCUAAGGUAUUCCUGUGUCUUGGCAAGUCUGUAUUUGUUAAAUCUUGGAGCGAGUAUAUCUCCUUGUAAAAAUAGUGAAAUCUUUAGAGUUUAAAAUUUCACACAGAAUCCAAGUGAGUUUUUGAACUGGCUUGUGACAGUAAUCCUGUGUCCCAUGCCUAAACUCUCAUUUUUGCUGAGGGCUUUUUCUUGCCGGUGUUUGCCUCAUUCUUACUCCAGUUUUUCUGUCCUCAUAAUUUCUAUUUCCUUACAUUUACUUUUAUUUCUCUUAGAGACUUUUUGUUCAGAUUUGGAUUGUCUUUAGUUAAAAUUCAAAUUUUAAUUUUAUUCUAGCAUAAUGUCAUGGUAUAAGAAAAGUCAGAUACAUAGAUGAACAAGUCAGGUGUUGUGGGUCGUACCUGCUUCCCAGCACCCAGGAGGCUAAGAUAGAAAGAUUUCCUGGGCUGCAUAUGAAUUCCAGUCCAGCCUGGGGUAUAGAUUGAGGUCCUGUAUCAAAACAGACAUGAAAAACAUGGGGGAAGAAAAAGGAACCCAAAUUAUAUCAGUAUUCAGGUUUAAUUCCUUCUACUCCUGAAGAGAUUAUUAUACCCUAUUUCUAUAUUGUGUAACAUACUUUAUUGGGACAUUCCUUUCCUCAAGGAAUCUUAAGUUGUUUUCAGCCUUUUCCUAGUACAAGCACUGUUGUAAUAAAUGACCUUGGAUACCUGUUACUUCAUGUACAGAUCAUUUAAUCUCCUUCUGGAAUAAGAUAGCUGUGUGUCUUAUAAAUAAUUAAUAUUAUAUUUUAUGUUGUACCACAGUGGUAUUUAUGAAUUAAAAAAAAUUUAACACCAGAGCUGAAUUAAGUUAAGAUGAAAUUGAGCCUGACUUGAAUAGAUAUAAUUUGAAUUCUUUUUUAUUCUUUGGUGUUUUUGGUUUUUCUUGUGACAUGGCAUUAUUUACUUAGGUGGAUGUUGCAAAUUAUAUUAUGUUAGUGUUAUUCUUAGUUACUGUUGUCUUUAGUACUAUGUUCUUAGAGGUAAAAAUGUUGGAAGGGUAUUUUCUAUGUGAAAAUUAAAAUAAUUGAUAGUAAAGUGUUAAUAUUUAAAAAUGUUAUACAAGAGAUGAAAUGUUACUAGGACUGCUGGGCUCUGCUCAUUAGUGAGUGUGUCCUCAGUGAGCAAUUUCAUGUUGCACAUUAUAAACAUUUACUAUGCACGUGGAUUUUCAUUUCAGCUUUUAAAAAGAACAUACCUUUUGCAUGGAGUAUUGAUUUCCUGUGUAUCACAUCUAAAAGCCAUGCAUUUAGGAGAAAUUUUUACUUCUUUCAAAUAACUAAUGCCUUUGUUCUGGGCUUUCAGUCUGUGGUUACAUGUGCCCUGUGUACUUUUGCUGUAUUUUCUCCCAUACAGCCAGAUGGCCAGUUGAAACAGCCUAUACAACACUGGCAGUUACAGCAGAUGUUGUCUUUACUACUCGUGUUCACAGAUGAAAAAAAUGAGGAAAGAGAAAUGUAUUUGUUUCCUGUCCUCCUUUGGUCUGUUAGUGCUGUAAAUUUUUGUUUGUUUUAAAGAUAGGGUCCCAUGUAGCCCAGGCAGGCCUUGAACUCCCUAUGCAGCUUUAGAUGACCCUUGAACUUCUGAUUCUCCUACCUCUACCUUCCAAACUGGAACUACAUCUAGUGUGUUCAGUGCUGGGAACUGAACCCAGUAUUGUGUUCAUGCUAGCUAAUCACACUGAUGCCUGAGCCACAUACCUAGCCCUGUGUCUGUAAUAUUUUUAUAUUUAAAAGAUUUUAACUUUAAGCCAGUUUUGGUGGCUUAUAACUUUAAUUCUAGCACUUGGGAGUUUGAGGAUUAUCAUUAGUUCAAAGCUAGUUUGGGUUGCAGAGUUCAACAGCCUCCCCUUUAAAUUUUAGGGCUGGAACAAUUGCCUAACAUAUAUAAGAUCCUAGGUUCAGUCCUCAGAACUGUCAAAAACUUAAUAAUAAAACUAAUUUUAUUUUGUUAUGCUAGUUACAUUUGAGAACUGUAAUAGCAACUAAAUGAUAUUUGAACUUAGUUUUCCUUCAGACACAUUUUUUUCUGAGCAGUUAAUGCUUGGUGCAGAUUCCAUCAAACUCUUCUUUUUGCUUAUUACUAAACAGAAAUAAACACACAUGGAAACAUACAUUUGGCAAAAAAACUUGUUUAAUUGAUUUUAAUGUGUAUGUGAUUUUAUUUAUAACUGUAAAUUGCUUUUUCACUAAAUAAUAUAUCCUUGAUCUUUCCUAACUAUGUAUUUAGAUCUACUUUCAGGUUUGUUUGUUGGUUUUGUAGCCCAGGGUAGACUUGAACUCAGUUUGUAUCCUAAAGUCCUUCCAAGAGUCUGUUUCUGCCUCCCAAGAGUUGGUUGGUAUUAGAGAUCUUUGCUACCCUAAAACCUACUUCUAGUUUUUAGGUUUUACCCCUGACCCCAUCUCCGCCCAUGUGUAUGUCAAACCCAGAGCCUGUGCAUGUUAGGUAAGUAUCCCCCUACAAGAGCUACAAUCCUAGCCUAUGAGUUGUUUUCCCCAAACUGUUUAAUGUAUUUCUUAGUUUAAGAAAUAUAAAUGGCCUGUUUUUGUUUCUUUUCUUUUUUUCUUUAUAAGUAGAAAUUCUAGGCCUGGUGUGGUACAGGAGGCAGAGGCAGUCAGGUCUUUUUGAAGUCAAGAUCAGCCUACUCUAUAUAGAGUUCCAGGCCAACCAGGGUUACCUAGUGAGACCUUGUCUAACACAAAGAACUUAUUACAUUAAGAAUGGAAGGGAAUUUUAGAAUAUAGUCUCCCAGGAAUAGGCUGAGUAGAUCAGUAAGGGGUGUCCACCUUCAUCAUCUGAGGCAUCUGUGUUUUGCAAGGUGGAAGUACUUCUCUCUGACAAAUAUUUUAAAUGGUAGAGUAUGUAUAUUUUAACUCAGUGUAGAAAUAAAAUAGGUGUUGUAUAAAUAUAAAGUAAAUGGAAGAUACCGGACUAAGGGCAAUUUUAGUGGAAGCUGAUUAGCUUGUUAGUACAUCUGAACGUGUAAAUAGAGCUGUGUUGUUUGUUUGAAGCCAAGAGUUAGUUGUAUUGUUUCUUAUCCUGGCAGUUGUACAGGCUAAAUGAAAGCUUGGAUGAGAGCAGUUAAUCCCUUUAGUGUGGACAGCAUGUUUCCUCUUAGGACACAACCUUGGCCUCUUGGGUUUAGGAGAGAGCUUGUCAGUUGCAGGAUUGUGCAUAUAUGAACUCACAAAGACUGGCAGCAUCCACAGGGUUGGUCUAAGUCAGAUGGAGCCUCAGCACUGAGAGGGGGAAGUUGACACAAGCCCUAAACCUAUCCCAGUAUCUCCAAUUGAUAACCUCUCACAAAGGAAAAAUAAAUUUUCUCCAGUGAAGUCUUACUGAGUAUACAAACCACUAUUAAGGACAGAUCCCAUGCCCAGCAGUCGAUGACUAACACAAAACAAACUCAAUGGCAUUUCUGGAAGAUCUUUGUCUCAUAAUGCUCAACCCUGCUGUGUUUGGAAGGCUUUGUUUCCUUGGUGUACUCCAUCCCUUUUGGCUCUUAUACACUUUCUGCCUCCUUUUGCGGUGUUUCCUGAGCCCUGAAAGGAGGCAUUUGAUGGAGACUUCCCUCUUAGGACUGAGUGUUCUGACGUCUCUCACUCUACACCCAGUCUAGCUGUGGGUCUCUGUAUUUGUUCCCAUCUGCUGCAAGAACAAUGAUGGCUGAACAAGGCACUGAUCUAUGAAUAUAGCAGAAUAUCAUUAGGAGCUAUUUUAUUCCUUUAGCAGAACAGUGGUAUUUGGAUUUCACCUAGAUCCCUGUCCUCUCAGGUUCUUGUCUACUCAAGCAGUGUCACACAUGGAUUCCAUCUUAUGUAGGGUCUUAAAUCCUAUCAGAUAUUACUUGAUUACUCCUACAAGCUUUGUGCCACAAUUACUCCAGUGCAUCUUGUAAGCAGUUCACUGUUGUCAAUGGAAGGGUUUAUGACUGGGGUGGUGUUUCCCAUUCUCCUCUGGUAGCAUGCAGAGUACCUUCCAGUAUCAUGAACCCUAUAGUAGAGAUGAAGACUCUUAGGCACCAGCUCAACUUCUCCCUGUUCAAUAAGGUGUGCAAGUGCUGUCUUCAACAAUGGGGCCUUACCAUCAGUUUGUGGGGAGCAACCAAAAACCUUGGCAAUAUGCUGGGUUGUGUGAGGAUGUCCUUGGGUCCCCUUUGGCCAAAAACUCAGUUAGAUUUUACCCUUUCCUGCAACUGGAAGUUUCAUUUAGUGAUGAGAUGUUCUAUUGGGAUUUGUAGUUUCUCACUUGAGCUGUUUUAGGACCUAGUUCUGUUUCUGACUUUGGCCCUAUUACUCAGGAAGUCUGGAGAACUUAUACUAACGGACAAACUGGUCUUUUUUUUCCCUCAGUUCCUGUUGAAGUGUAGAGCCCUACCAAGUUAUUUAACUUCCUUGAAUUAUUCCUGAGUGUACAUGAUGAGAAUUUAGGGAGAUCUAAUAAACAACUUGUUAAUUUAUUAUGGGUAUAUGGAAAAGCCUUACAUUGUAGGCCAGUGCUGAUAAAGGUUAUGCAAACCUUUCCCAGCACAACAGCCUAUGCAGGGUCCAGAGAGCUGUAUAGGUUCUGCUCAAACCUAUAACUAGGCUUUGAGAGAUGGGGCUAUGCUGCCUGUUUGCAUAUGUUGAUAGAGUUAUGCAAAUACAUUUGUACUGUGUAGAUGAUGGCUUUUAAAGUUGGUAGGACUUGAGAAAGGAAGCAUAAACUACAAGCUUCUUUUAAAAUGGUACAAGCUAUUUUGUAUAAAAAUGCUUAUGGAAUAUAUUUUUGUAGAGCUGGGGAUGGGAACAGUAUGAAACUUGCACUUGAUUUCCCUAGAGGUUACAACUUUGGCUUUUCCUUUGUAGGGGAAUUAAACAUUCUAACUUUGACUAUAUUUCACUACAUUACUUACAAGUAAUAAUGGUACUACAUGUUGAGCUAAUCACUUUUCAAAAAAGAUUUAUUUAUUUAUUUAUAUAUAUAGUGUUCUGCCUGCAUGUAUGCCUGCACGUCAGAGGAGGGCACUAGAUCUCAUUACCAAUGGUUGUGAGCCACCAUGUAGUUGUUGGGAAUUGAACUCAGGACCUUUGGAAGAGGAGCCAGUGCUGUUAACCACUGAGCCAUAUCUCCAGCCCCAUCACUACUUAUUCUUGACAAUUUUGUGUUUAUCUGUAGUGCAUGGCACUAAUUGUUUUCCUUUAUGAUUUUGGAGCAAAUGUCAAAACAAGCAUUCCAUUCUGACAUACAUUUUUUGUUUGUUUUGUUCAAGAUAGGGUUUCUCUGUGUAGCUUUGGAGCCUAUCCUGGCACUCGCUCUAUAGACCAGGCUGGCCUCAAACUCACAGAAAUCCACCUUCUUCUGCCUCCCAAGGGCUGGGAUUAAAGGUGGGCUCAGCGCCUGGCUCAGGGUGUAUUUUAUUGAGGAUAAAUUUAGUAUUUUUUUUUUUAAAAAUGGUUUACAGCACUUUGCUGAUUUCAUUCUUACCAUGAGAAUUAUAAUUGUAGAUUUAAAAAGUUCCUAUAAACACUUUUGAAAAGAUGCAGUUGCUCUCAAACCUUUACUUUGUGAGAAGGUAUCUGCUUUUGGUUCUUUGAAAUAAUCUAGAAGAGGUCUUCAUGUGCAUUGGUUGAUAGUAAAGGAGAAUGCCUUGUUUCUAGGGUCCUGAUGAAGAAGCCGUUGUAGAUCUUGGCAAAACUAGCUCAACCGUGAACACCAAGUUUGAAAAAGAAGAACUAGAAAGCCACCGAGCUGUGUAUGUCGGUGUUCAUGUACCAUUUAGUAAAGAGAGUCGUCGGCGACACAAGCAUCGAGGGCAUAAGCAUCACCACCGGAGAAGAAAAGACAAA